rnacentral:rRNA from 1 species
UGGGAUGCGAAUCUCGAAAGCCUGUCUCAGUUCGGAUUGGAGUCUGCAACCCGACUCCAUGAAGCUGGAUUCGCUAGUAAUCGCGCAUCAGCCACGGCGCGGUGAAUACGUUCCCGGGCCUUGUACACACCGCCCGUCACACCAUGGAAGUCUGCAAUGCCCGAAGCCGGUGGCCUAACCACUUAUGUGGAAGGAGCCGUCUAAGGCAGGGCAGAUGACUGGGGUGAAGUCGUAACAAGGUAGC